GAACUGCGAUAAGUAAUGUGAAUUGCAGAAUUCAGUGAAUCAUCGAGUCUUUGAACGCACAUUGCGCCCCCUGGCAUUCCGGGGGGCAUGCCUGUCCGAGCGUCAUUGCUGCCCUUCAAGCCUGGCUUGUGUGUUGGGUCGUCGUCCCCUCCGGGGGACGGGCCCGAAAGGCAGCGGCGGCACCGCGUCCGGUCCUCGAGCGUAUGGGGCUUUGUCACCCGCUCGAUAAGGACCGGCCGGGCGCCAGCCGGCGUCUCCAACCUUUUUUUCUCAGGUUGACCUCGGAUCAGGUAGGGAUACCCGCUGAACUUAAGC
rnacentral:misc_RNA from 1 species